rnacentral:lncRNA from 1 species
ACUGAACAUUUCAAAAUAAACCCUUGGACAACUCGGACACAACAUGAAGAUGCAAUCGAAUAUUUAAGACACAUUCAACUCUUGCUCAAUCCAGACAUGCUAUUUCUUGGAUGAUACCAAUUGCAGAUACUGAUAAUCCUACAGGGGAUUCUUGUGAUAGUACAGAGAAGAUGGUAUUAAAGCCACAGAAGAAGAGGCAAUGUCAAAGAUUCUUGUAUAAAGACAACAGAGCUAGAUCAUGAGUGCUAUGCCAAUCCCACCUGUUUGUAAUGAAAAAGAAAGUUUUCAACAAUGAGAAUUAUAACGCCAGAUUUUUAUGAGAAUCUGUAACAUUUUGGAGGCAUUAAUGGAUACCUAGUAACAGAGCACUUGCAAUGAUCAUGGAGGCCAGAAUGCAGAUUAAUGUACUCAUCAACUUUCUUUCCACAUGUAGUCCUACAAAGACAGCAAUUAUGGCCACAACAGAAAAGCAGUAGAGAGAUGUUUAAAAUUGGAAGACUAUUAACAAUUUGGACCAUGAUUGCAUUAAGUUACCAUAAGGAAUUGGAAUUUGCUUUAGAAGAUAAUAGACGUCGAAGCUAUCAUACUGAAGCUACAACAAGAAAAUUGCUCAAAAUUGUAAUUGGUACUUCACUUCUGACUCAAUUAAGUUGAAUUCUUGCAAAAUUUUAGAUUUUGAAUGGAGGAUAAGGAUCGGGAUUGAGUGGGAAAUUUCAUCCUUGGCAGAAGCUUCUCA